GCCUGAUAGUUGGUCAUACGAACCUGGACUCUAUAUAAAAUAGAACUUGUCUGCAAAAUAGAAGAUUUACGCAUUUCGAUCUAGACUUACAUUGAACAAUAGGCCUCCAGCUCUAGAGACAAUCCAAAUUAGACUCAAUAACUAAAUCAAACAUAAAAACCCUGCAUAUUGUUUUUUCACCAACUUAAAAACUACAAUUGAAAUCAAAUAAAAAGACCAUGGAUACUUUUUUUUAACCAACAAUAGACUACAUAUAAAGUAAAUAAGAAUCUAAAUUACUAUUUUGUUUCCAAGGAAACAAAACUUGAACUUUUUCACAUUCAUUGGAGUUUCUGAUCAACGAGUUUCCUCCCCUCCUCCUCCUCUUUCUUCUCCUUUUCAUCAUCAUCGUCUUCAUCUUUUUCUACUUCCUCCUCGUCCACCUCUAGUUCAUCAUGAUAUCCUCCAUAAUGAUGCUGCCAGUAGAACAACUUUAAUUACCUACUAAACUGAGAAUUCUCACACGUCAUUCCCAAAUGCAAGCAUUUACAAUUGACACAGAAAAGUCUCCAACAGUCAAGACAUGACCUAAUUAGAUAGUCCCUUAGAUCAUCAAUCAGUGUACCCAUACAUUCCAUAAAAGGGAAAUCAAUAACUAUUGGUGAAGCUAGAUCUUCUGUUAGUCGAAUGACAUUUCUUUCUUGCAUAAGAAAAUCAACCUGCAUUAUUGAAUCGAUAUCUAAAAUUGCAUUGGAAUAUAUAAGAAGCAUAUCACUUCAUAGAAAUCAUCUCAUUGAUAUCCUUAUUAAUUUUUUGCCUAUAUAAUUUUGUACGCAUUCUUCACAAUAGCGAUGAUUGCAGUUAGUGCCCCGCUUCAUUGCCUUUGACAGUGGAGACACAUUUUCACAAAAAGUACAUGAAGAUUCUCCCUUUUUAGAAGUAUUUUCUUUAGGUUAAGUGAAUUUUGAAUAACAGAAUACUCAGUUUUUACAGGAUUUUUUUACCAACACCGUGAUCAUGGCUUGAUUCCAAGUUCUUAUCUAAAUGAAACUGAGUUGAGUAGAAGAGAAUAUUUUGUAUCUCGAUAUCAUUAUCUCCACUCGCAUAACCGUUUUUAUUUUUAGUGAUACCGAUGACAUUAAAAUUCAGCAAGGUGGGAUCAACUUUGAUUUUGCCGUAGUGCAAGAUUUGCAAAUCUGUUGAUUCCAUUUCAGCUUGAUUCUCCGUCCAUGGGACCCCUUAUUUCUUUCCUAAUAUAUGCAUAUAUAUUGUAAAUAUACUAUUUUUUUACAGCAUAUAUGCAUAUAUUGGGAAAGAAAUAUAAGGUCCCAUAGAAAGAUAAUCAAGUUGAAAUGCAAUCAACAAAUUUGAAAAUCUUGCACUCCAACAAAAUCAAAGUUGAUCCCACUUUGCUAAAUUCUAAUGUCAUCGCUAUCACAAAAAAUAAAAACAAUUACAAGAGCAGAUAUAAUGAUAUCGAGCUACAAAACAUUCUCUUCUACUCAACUCAAUUUCAUUUAGGUAAGAAUUUGGAAUCAAAGUCUAAUCACGGUGUUGGUAAAAAUAUGUAGAAAUUGAGUAUUUUGUUAUUCAAAAUUCACUUAACCUAAAUAAAAAUACUUCUAAAAAGGGAGAAUCUUCAUUUACUUUUUUGUGAAAUUUGUAAAAAUGUGUUUCCGCUGCCAAACAAAAUGAUGUGGGGCACCAAUUUCAAUCAUCGUUAUUGUGAAGAAUGCAUACAAAAUUAUAUAGGCAAAAAAAUUAAUAAUGAUAUCCAAGAGAUGAUUUCGACGAAGUUCCCUACAUCUGAUUGCAAUAGAAUUUUAGAUAUCGAUUCAAUAAUGCCGGUUGAUUUCCUUAUGCAAGUAAGAGAUGCCAUUCGACUAACGGAUGUUAUGGCUUCGCCAAUAGUUAUUGAUUGCCCUUUUAUGGAUGUAUGAUUACAGUGGUUGAUAAUAUCCGAUUAUGGCAUAUCCUGAGUGUUUGAUACUUUUUCUGUGUCAAUUGUAAAUGCUUACAUUUGGGAAUAACAUGUGAGAUUUAUCAGUUUAGUAGGCAAUUAAAUUUUCUCUACUAGAAGAACCAUUAUGGAGGAUAUCAUGAUGGACUACAGGAGGACGAGGAGCAAGAAGAAGAAAAUGAAGAUGAUGAAGAAGGAGAAGACGAAGAAAGAGUAAGAAAAGGGGAGCAAACUCAAUGAUCAUAAAUUUCAACGAAUGUAAAAAAGUUGAUGUUUGUUUCCUUGUAAACAAAAAGGCAAUUUGGAUUCUUAUUUAUUUUAUAUGUAGUCUAUUGUUGAUUAAAAACAGUAUGCAGUGUUUUUUAUUUGAUUUUAGUUGUAGUUGUUAAGUUGGUGAAAAAAUAAUAUGCAAGGUGAUUAUGUUUGAAUCAGUUAUUGAGUAGAUUUGGAUGGGCUCUAGCGGUGGAGGCCUAUUGUCCAAUAUAAGUCUAGACCAAAAUGCGUAAAUCUUCUAUUUUGCAGACAAGUUGUUCUAUUUUACAUAGAGUCUAGGUUUGUAUGACCAACUAUCAGGGCCAUAUUUCUUUUAUUUUGAAUCGCUUGUUCAAAUUGUUUUUAACUAUAUCACUUAUUAGAUCAAAGUAACAAAGAAUUCAUCUCACAGUUGGUUUUUAAAGUAAAAAAUGAUUUAAUUCUCUUUGCAAAAUUAGGAGAGAAGGUUGUAUGUGUUACACCCUAACUUAGGAUAAGGAGUAACAUAUAAGCAAAAAAAUCAUGAGAGAUGUAAAGUAUAUGUAAGUAUGUAGACCUUGUACUUUAAUGAUCCCUUUAAAAGUUGUGCUGAUCAAUGCCGAUAUAGAAGAAUAUCACUAGUGGGUUAGACAAUUACAAAUGGUACUAGAGCAACUUUUGAGUUAACUGUGUCGAUGCAAGUGAAAGUAACUUGAUUUUAGAAAAAUUCUGAUUAGGUGAGGCAAGCAUCUUUGCUAGGCCUUGACAAAUCUCAAGUGUUGGGGAAAAUCACAAUGGUGGGGCAAACCUCAGCGAGGACUUGAGUCCAUAAGAGAGGUUGCUUGUGACAUAUCUCCUAGGAUAAGAAGUUCACAUCGACAAAAACACAUGAUAAGUAAUCAGAUCUUACACUUUAGUGGUGCGUUCUAAAGUAUGGUGGGUCUAGGGCGAAAUGAAAACUAUCACUAGCGAACGAACUAUUGUUUGGUUGGAAAAGGAAACGUAGAUUUAUGUACAUAUAUAUAAUUGGUAGAGUAUUUUUUCUCAUUUCACUCAAAGAAAAAUUACAACGGGAGAGUUUUCUUAUAUUAUGAAGAGUAGAAUUAAUUUGAUUCAACAUUUUCUAGGAUGUUACAGAAAAAUCAUUGAGCUAUGUUUGCUUGGUUUUAAGAACCUAAGAAGGUUUCCAUGUUUUAGCAAAGAAUAUCAUAAAUCUCUGGAACUAUCUUUCUGUUCUAGCUUACAGAAAUUUCUAGAAAUCUUGGGAACAGUGAAGCCGAAGUUGAAGAUUAUCAGGCAUAAGUACUUCGGUAUAAGGGAACUACCAUUAUCUGUAUCAAUACCUAGAUAGCUUAUAUUGGAGAGAGUUUAGAAGAGAAUACUUCAGAACUUGUGUAUUGCUAAAAGAUUUCAAUGAUAUAAAUAUAUGAAGAGACUAAAUGUUGGUGUAUAGAUACAUUUUAUUAUUAAAAUAAAAUAUCAAAUGUAUAUGUUAGUGGAUAUAAAUUGUGGUAGAAGAUGACUAUUGGUUCUUGUAACUUAUAUGAUUAUUAGUUCUUGUUACUCUCAUGGUCAUUAGUUUCUGUAACUAUAUGACCACUAGUUUCUUGUAACUUAUGUAACAUCUAUCAUUCAUUUACCUACAUUACUACCCAUCAUUCUACCCAUUGACUAUACUGAAGACUUCUUCACCAGUAAAUAGUGGUGUUUCUAUCGAAAAAAGAUAAGUAUGAAAUAAUAUUGUAGUGUGUAGUAGUGAAAGAGAGAAUUGAGGAAGAAAGAUGUUCUUUUUGUGAAGCUUUGGGCUCUUCAACUAAUUCGGAGUUGCUUGAGUUACAUGACAUUGUUUGACUGUUGUAUCAUGGGACAAGUCAACAGUGAUACUGCUUGAUCAGCGUAAAUUAUGCCCUCAGUGGGCUUGAAUCUUCUUAAAGAGAGCGAAAUGUCUGCACCUCAACCUAAAGAUUUUGUUUUCUUUGUCAUUUCAUUUCAAUUGGAAUUUUUAUUAUUUUUGGUAUAGUACACCAACAAUUUUAAGGAAAAUGAUGUUUUGUUAUAGUUUGGGAAAGUGUGAAUAUCAAGAUAGGAGAUUACAACAUCAUUCCGCUUCAACGUCGCUCCUUCCGAGAGAUGGAAGAGAAGAAAUUUACAAAAAAAAAAAUUUAUAUAGUGGGGUUCAUGAAAUAAGAAAAAACCAUUGUGAAAAAAUGGUUUUUGCAUUUUUGAGAAACGCUCUAAAAAGGACAUUACAAUUGCAUAUAUUUAAUGUGGAAUAAAUCACAUUUUUUCACUCUAAUGAGAUGAUGUUUGGCUCUAACAGGAGAGUUAUAAAUGAAUUAUGAAAAACAUAAAUAGUAGUCAUUUUUGAAAUGUUUUGAGUGAGAUAAGUUUUAUUUUUGGAAUGAAAAAAUACCAUAAAACAUGUGAUUGAUUUUUCUUUGUCAAGUCACAUAGUAUUGAAAUAACUGUGUAUACAUUUUAUUAUUAUAAAAUAAAAUAUGAAAUGUAUAUGUUAGUGAGUAUAAAUUGUUGUAGAAGAUGACGAUUGAUUAUUGUAACUUAUAUGAACAUUAGUUCUUGUAACUCUCAUGGUCAUUAGUUUCUUAUAAUUCAUAUGACCAUUAGUUUCUUGUAACUUUUGUAAUAUCUAUCACAUUCAUCUACCCGCAUUACUAGUCCUCAUUCUACCAAUUGAUUAUAUGGAAGACUUCUUCACCCAUAAAUAAUGGUGUGUGUUUUUCUUUGUGAAGGAUUUCAAAAAAUAAAUAAAUAGGCAGUUUGAAAUAAUAUUUUAGUUUGUAGUAGUGAAAGAGAGAGUUAAGACAAAGAAAAUAUUGUAAGUCUUCAACUAUAUUCACUAUAUAAAAGAGAUUAUUUAUAUAUUGAAGGAAGAUAUUCUUUUUGUGGAGCUUUGGACUCUUCAACUAAAUCAGAGUUGUUUGAGUUGUGACGUUGUUGGCCUAUUGUAUCAUGUAGAGGACACUCAAGAGUGAUACUUCUUGAUUGGUGUGAAUUAUGUUGCAGUGGACUUGAAUCUCUUUAAAGAGAACGACAUAUCGCACCUCAGCCUAAAGAUUUGUUUAUUCUUUUUGGAGAGAGGAACUGGAUUUUCACAUGUAUCUAUAAUAGAGAUAUUAUCACAGUAUAUUGUGAGAGGUGGAACAUAAUAAAACAUUUCCUAAAGAAGGGAUUUGACCAAUUGAACUUUGAUAGUUGUUGCAACGACGACCCUAUAUUCAGCUUCAACGGAUGAUCUAGCAACUGUCAUUUUCCUCCUAGAACUCCAGCUAAUUAGUUAAUGACCAAAAUAUAAAAAAGAACCUAGAAGUUGAUGCUCUAUCGGAUGGAUCAACAACACGAUCGACAUAAAAGAAAUCAUGAAACUUUAAAGGAGAUUUUGGAGUAAUAUGGAGACCAAAGGCAAUAGUAGAUUUUAGAUAUCGUAGCAGAUGUUUGUGAUCCAACCAAUGAUGAUGAUUAGGACAAUGCAUGAACUGGGAGAGUUUGUUGACAGUAAAGCCAAUAUCAGGCCUCGUAAAAUUUAGAUAUUGCAACUAAAGAAUGUGUAGCAGAAAUUGAGUAAAGAAUGUGCAGUGGAAAUUGGAGCAACACUUCUUUAAACCCCAAGAAAGGAAAAUUCCUUUUAAUGCUUUAUGAACAUCAACACCAAGAAAGAGAUGACUCAUGGGGAUCCUUCAAUUAGAACCGGACUCCAAGGCCUUCAAUAAAUUGUUUGAUGAAGGAUGAGUUGUUACCUGAGAGAUUAUCUACAUGUGGCACCUUUACGAUAUAUGAAAAGAGGGUGAUCACUUUGUAAUUGCUAAAAACCAUACUUCAAGGCAAAUGAUCAUAGGGCUUGGUACCAUGCCCUUAGGGCUUGCUUAAGUUUGUAGAGAGAGAGUUGACUAAUUUAUAGAGAUGGUGUUGUUUGGCUAGAUCACGAAUCCUGGUGGUUGUUCCAUGAACACAUGCUUUUCUAAUGGACCAUGCAAGAAGGUGUUAUUCACUUCCAAUUGAAAUAGAGGCCAUGGAUCAGCUAAAGUAAGAACCACACGCAUUGUUACAGACUUAACUAUUGAAUUUCUCACAAAAAUUGAUUCCAGAUCGUUAGUUGUAUCCCUUUGCAAGCAACUAAGUCUUGUAUUUUUAUGUGAACCAUCUGCAUUCCUUUAGACCCUAAAAAUUCACUUUCAACCGACUAAAUUUUGUUGAGAAUCUAUAGGGACAAGAACUCAAGUACCAUUUUUAGUUAAUGCACUGAAUGUAUAUGACAUAGCAUAGCGCCACUCAAGAUGGGUCAGAACUUGUCCAUUUGUUGUUGGUUGUAGUACUGCCGGUAAAGGAUGUUCGGUGACAUGGUGAACAAAUUUAAGUAUAUAAAUGUUAUAAUUUUGAAAGAGUGACCAUGAUAUGAGUGUGUGGAAAUGAAGAGGAAGGAAUGUUAUUUUUGUUGGAGGAGAAUGAUUAGUGUUCUCCAUUGAAGGAGAAGGAUCAAAAGGUAAUGACAAUUAUUCAACAAAAUGAUUGGCAAGCAAGGAUGAAGUAGGAAAGGAAUUUGAUUCAAAUGGAAUUAUAGUGUGAGAAAAUGUAGUAGAAGGGAUACCAUGCCAAUUUGAAUUUGACUGAGAAUCUGAAGUAUGUGUUUGAUACAGAAUUUUAUUAAAGGAAGACAACAUGACUUGAGGUAAUGUACCUCUUACACUUAAGAUCAUAGCAAACAUAUGCACUCUGAUGCAAAGAGUAACCAAGAGAAAUGCAAGGGACAAACUCGAGAUCAAAUUUGGACUUGGUAUAAGGACGACGACAAGGAUAACAUAAGCCAUCAACAAAACGCAAAAAUUGAUAAUUUUGACAACGGUUAAAAAGCUUUUGAUAGGGAGAGUAAAAUUAAAGAAGUGGUGUGAGAAUAUGGUAUGUGUUUUUUUUUAAAAUUCAAAAGACUAAAAGGAAGAAUGGAGGGAUGUUUUUUGGAGUAUGUAAUUAAGACCAGUUUCAACUAAGUGACAAUGGCGACUUUCUGCAGCCCCAUUGUGUUGUGGGAUGUCAGGUGGUGUUUGUAGAUGAUUUAUUCAAUAAGAUUGAAUAUAUUUUUUUAAGUGAAACAUAUUAUCCACCCCAUCGGUGUAAGUUUAUUUUAUCUUGACAUUAAAGUUAUUUUUGAAAAGUUUUUGAAAUGGUGGAAAAAUAGUAUAACACAUUUAAUUUAGCCAUUGAAGAAAAGAACCAAAUAUAUUUUAUGUAAUGGUCUACAAAGAUGAUAUAGUAACCAAACCCAACAACUGAUUGAACAGGGGCAGGACCCCAUAAAUCAUAGUAUAAUAUCUCAAGAGGUCUACUAACUGUUAGAGGAGAAACACCAAAGGAUUGACGGUGACUUUUAUUGAAUUGGAUGCUUUGUAACUAAAACUUGGACAAACUGAAAUUAUAGAUCCUAGCAUUAGGAUGACCAAGAAAUUGAUGCCAAGACUAUGGUGAAACGUGAACGCUGAAGCACACAUAUUUAUUUGAAACUACAGAGGAAAAAACUUGAUCAAAAUUGAUCAAGUGCUCAUUUGAACUGAAUCUCCUUUGUGAAUUGAUCUUUCACAAGAAAAUAUUCAGAAAAGAACUCAAUAACUCAAUUAACAAUUGGUUUGAAGUAUAAAAUUGUGAUACAUAUAUGAGGUUGAUUAUUCAGAUAAGGGAAAACAUAAAACAUUAGAAAUAUAUAAUUUUUUUGCUGGGAGAAAAAUAGUACCAUAACCAACAUGUGAGAUAGACAAACCUGAGCCACUUUUGUCACUACCGUCAUAUAGCGAAUAAAGAUAUAGGUGAUCACACACAAAUUACCGAGAAAAGUCCAAGAGUAGAGUUUGUCAUCAAUUAAAAAACCCAACUAAGAGUCAGAGUCAAAUUCUAGAGGAAACAAUUUAUCGGCAAUUGAAAAGACAGAAUCAAGAGUUAAAAGUUUGAACCUAAACACUGAACUUACAAUGCUAUCAAAUUAAGAGAGAUUUUUUUUAACUAAGCAAAGGAUUUGGGAAGAGACAAUAAGAAACAAGGGAUAAUUGGGAUUUAGGGAAUUCAGAAUUUAACAACCAUUCAACGAUCCAUGCAAAUUAAUCAAAGGUAGGCUAGAUAAUCAUCAAAUAACACUUAACUCUUUUUUUUUUUUAUCUCAAAGUGCUUUCUCAUUUUCAACAAUAGUACAAUCCAAUACCUUAAUCUAAACCUCUAUUUCUAGAAAGUUUAGCUUUCAACAAGGUAAACCUUAAUUAUCUUCUUCCGUUCUCAAAUUUAGGAAUCAAAGUUAAACAUUAUUAUCAAUCUAAUUCUCCAUUCAUGAAUAAUUUUUUAAGCUACCCAUGAAGAUCAGAAUUUAGAUUCAAGCGUCCACUCUCAAAUCAUUAAUUAAAGCAUGAGAAAUAGAUCAAAACCUAGUCAUGAAAACUUGGAAUCACAUACGAAAUCAUUAGAACGAACAAUCAAGACCCAAAUAAAUUAUCUAUUUCUAGCAUAAAGUUCCAAUUUCAAAUAGCAAUUACACCCACAUAUCUAGCAAUUUAGAGGAAGGAAAUGAAGAAGGGAAUAAGGGAUUUACCAAAUAGAGCACAAUCUUCAAAUCCACAACUGAAAUGUAAGGCAACUUGCCUUUAGUGUACCAAAUGGAAAUCUACAAUUUUUGUCUCUAGAUCUAAGAUAAAAGAUGAUUACUCUACAAAUUUGAAAUUGAAAUUGUUCAAUGAUAUUCCAUGCUGCCUCUUUCCAGCCCUUUUGUGAGAAUUAGGGUUUCAAUACUUGAAAAUUUCCAAUUCUGUCCUUUUAAAAAUAGGUGGGCCUCACGAAUGUGGUUCAGAAUUCCACUAUUAGGGAGUUGAUAAAAG
rnacentral:lncRNA from 1 species